rnacentral:rRNA from 1 species
UGGCGGCCGUAGCGCGGUGGUCCCACCUGACCCCAUGCCGAACUCAGAAGUGAAACGCCGUAGC